rnacentral:lncRNA from 1 species
GGAAUUGUGACGUUUAAUUGUUUUAGUAGGUCGACAAAUUUUUUGAAUUGGCCCGCAUCUUUGGUUUUAAUAAGCCUUUGAGGGUAAGGGAUAGGUGGUUUAUAAGGUGGUGGAGGUACAUAAGGUUCCUUCUUUUCUACGGUUUCCUUAUUACUCUCUUCCUUUUCCUUAGGUUCACUUUCCUCCUCAGUUGACUUUUUAGAGUUUUGGUU